rnacentral:rRNA from 1 species
GGCGGCAUGCCUAACACAUGCAAGUCGAACGAGACCUUCGGGUCUAGUGGCGCACGGGUGCGUAACGCGUGGGAAUCUGCCCUUUGCUACGGAAUAACUCGAGGAAACUCGUGCUAAUACCGUAUGAUGUCGCAAGACCAAAGAUUUAUCGGCAAAGGAUGAGCCCGCGUAGGAUUAGCUUGUUGGUGAGGUAAAGGCUCACCAAGGCGACGAUCCUUAGCUGGUCUGAGAGGAUGAUCAGCCACACUGGGACUGAGACACGGCCCAGACUCCUACGGGAGGCAGCAGUGGGGAAUAUUGGACAAUGGGCGAAAGCCUGAUCCAGCAAUGCCGCGUGAGUGAUGAANGCCUUAGGGUUGUNAAGCUCUUUUACCCGGGAAGAUAAUGACUGUUCCGGGGGAAUAAGCUCCGGCUAACUCCGUGCCAGCAGC